GAUGAACGCUGGCGGCGUGCCUAAUACAUGCAAGUCGAGCGAACAGACGAGGAGCUUGCUCCUCUGACGUUAGCGGCGGACGGGUGAGUAACACGUGGAUACCCCACCUAUAAGACUGGUAUAACUUCGGGAAACCGGAGCUAAUCCCGGAUAAUCUAUUGAACCGUAUGGUUCAAUAGUGAAAGACGGUUUUGCUGUCACUUCUCGAUGGUUCCGGGCCGCAUUAGCUAGUUGGUAAGGUAACGGCUUACCAAGGCAACUAUGCGUAGCCGACCUGAGAGGGUGGUCGGCCACACUGGAGCUGAAACACGGACCAGACGACUACGAGACGCAGCAGUAGGGAAUGGUACGCAGUGGGCGAGAGCAUGACGGAGCAGCGGCGCGUGAGUGAUAAAGGUCUUGGGAUCGUAAAAAUCUGUUAUUAGGGGAGAACAAAUGUGGAAGUAACUAUGCACGUCUUGACGGUAACUGAUCAGAAAGCCACGGCUAACUACGUG
rnacentral:rRNA from 1 species